CCCUUAGAUGUCCUGGGCCGCACGCGCGCUACACUGAACGGAUCAGCGCGUUUUCCCUUCCCGAGAGGGACGGGUAACCUGCUGAACCCCGUUCGUGGUAGGGAUCGGGGCUUGCAAUUAUUCCCCGUGAACCAGGAAUGCCCAGUAAGUGCAAGUCAUAAGCUUGCGUUGAUUACGUCCCUGCCCUUUGUACACACCGCCCGUCGCUACUACCGAUUGAACGUUUUAGUGAGGUACUCGGACUGAGUCUCAGAAGAUUCACGUCUUUUGUGCUGCUCGGGAAGAUUCCCAAACUUGAGCGUUUAGAGGAAGUAAAAGUCGUAACA
rnacentral:rRNA from 1 species